rnacentral:rRNA from 1 species
AUCAUGCAAGUCGAGCGGACAGAAGGGAGCUUGCUCCCGGAUGUUAGCGGCGGACGGGUGAGUAACACGUGGGUAACCUGCCUGUAAGACUGGGAUAACUCCGGGAAACCGGAGCUAAUACCGGAUAGUUCCUUGAACCGCAUGGUUCAAGGAUGAAAGACGGUUUCGGCUGUCACUUACAGAUGGACCCGCGGCGCAUUAGCUAGUUGGUGAGGUAACGGCUCACCAAGGCGACGAUGCGUAGCCGACCUGAGAGGGUGAUCGGCCACACUGGGACUGAGACACGGCCCAGACUCCUACGGGAGGCAGCAGUAGGGAAUCUUCCGCAAUGGACGAAAGUCUGACGGAGCAACGCCGCGUGAGUGAUGAAGGUUUUCGGAUCGUAAAGCUCUGUUGUUAGGGAAGAACAAGUGCAAGAGUAACUGCUUGCACCUUGACGGUACCUAACCAGAAAGCCACGGCUAACUACGUGCCAGCAGCCGCGGUAAUACGUAGGUGGCAAGCGUUGUCCGGAAUUAUUGGGCGUAAAGGGCUCGCAGGCGGUUUCUUAAGUCUGAUGUGAAAGCCCCCGGCUCAACCGGGGAGGGUCAUUGGAAACUGGGAAACUUGAGUGCAGAAGAGGAGAGUGGAAUUCCACGUGUAGCGGUGAAAUGCGUAGAGAUGUGGAGGAACACCAGUGGCGAAGGCGACUCUCUGGUCUGUAACUGACGCUGAGGAGCGAAAGCGUGGGGAGCGAACAGGAUUAGA